GUGGUGGCUUUGGCAUUUUGCUGCUUGUCAACUCCUGCCUUUUGAGGUGAUCAAGAUGGAGGUUGACUAUCUCUGAAAUUUGAAAUGGGAAAUCCCAUUGUUCAUACAUACUUGAGAAAAUUCAUUGAUCUUGCUCAAGAGAGUUACUAAAAAACUCCUAAUAUGCAGUUUGAGGCUUUGAUUUACUACCUCACAGAUCUAAGUGAAUUACAGAUGGUUUUAGUUUUGGCUACUCUUUUGAUUUUUCUGUGUUUUCGCUUUUGC